CCUGCCCUCCACAGGGGGAUAACGCACCGAAAGGUGCACUAAUACCGCAUAAGCUGACAUGGUCAAAGGAGCAAUCCGGUGGAAGAUGGGCUCGCGUCUGAUUAGCUAGUUGGUGAGGUAACGGCCCACCAAGGCGACGAUCAGUAGCCGACCUGAGAGGGUGAUCGGCCACAUUGGAACUGAGAGACGGUCCAAACUCCUACGGGAGGCAGCAGUGGGGAAUAUUGGGCAAUGGGCGAAAGCCUGACCCAGCAACGCCGCGUGAAGGAAGAAGGUUUUCGGAUCGUAAACUUCUAUCCUUGGUGAAGAUAUGACGGUAGCCAAGAAGGAAGCCCCGGCUAACUACGUGCCAGCAGCCGCGGUAAUACGUAGGGGGCAAGCGUUGUCCGGAAUGAUUGGGCGUAAAGGGCGCGUAGGCGGCCAACUAAGUCUGGAGUGAAAGUCCUGCUUUUAAGGUGGGAAUUGCUUUGGAAACUGGAUGGCUUGAGUGCAGGAGAGGUAAGCGGGAUUCCCGGUGUAGCGGUGAAAUGCG
rnacentral:rRNA from 1 species